UUGUGUCGAUAUUUUCUCCUCGGACCUUGAAAAUUUAUGGUGGGGACACGCAAACUUCUCAACAGGCCGUACCAAUAUCCGCAGCUGGUCUCCAAGGUGAAGAGUCUCUAGUCGAUAGAAUAAUGUAGGUAAGGGAAGUCGGCAAAUUAGAUCCGUAACUUCGGGAUAAGGAUUGGCUCUGAAGAUUGAGAUAGUCGGGCUUGAUUGGGAAACAAUAACAUGGUUUAUGUGCUCGUUCUGGGUAAAUAGAGUUUCUAGCAUUUAUGUUAGUUACUUGUUCCCCGGAUAGUUUAGUUACGUAGCCAAUUGUGGAACUUUCUUGCUAAAAUUUUUAAGAAUACUAUUUGGGUUAAACCAAUUAGUUCUUAUUAAUUAUAACGAUUAUCAAUUAACAAUCAAUUCAGAACUGGCACGGACUUGGGGAAUCCGACUGUCUAAUUAAAACAAAGCAUUGUGAUGGCCCUAGCGGGUGUUGACACAAUGUGAUUUCUGCCCAGUGCUCUGAAUGUCAAAGUGAAGAAAUUCAAGUAAGCGCGGGUCAACGGCGGGAGUAACUAUGACUCUCU
rnacentral:rRNA from 1 species